rnacentral:tRNA from 2 species
AGUCUCGUAGCUCAGGUGGAAGAGCACCUGGUUUACACCCAGGGUUGUCGGGGGUUCGAAUCCCUCCGGGACUACCA